CAGCCGCCGCGGUAAUACGUAGGUGGCAAGCGUUGUCCGGAAUUAUUGGGCGUAAGGCGCGCGCACGUGGUUUAAUAAGUCUGAUGUGAAAGCCCACGGCUCAACCGUGGAGGGUCAUUGGAAACUGUUAAACUUGAGUGCAGGAGAGAAAAGUGGAAUUCCUAGUGUAGCGGUGAAAUGCGUAGAGAUUAGGAGGAACACCAGUGGCGAAGGCGGCUUCUUGGCCUGUAACUGACACUGAGGCGCGAAAGCGUGGGGAGCAAACAGGAUUAGAUACCCGUGUAGUCCCUGUCUCUUAUAC
rnacentral:rRNA from 1 species